rnacentral:rRNA from 1 species
UACGAAGGGAGCUAGCGUUGUCCGGAUUUACUGGGCGUAAAGAGCGCGCAGGCGGUCGAUCAAGUCGAGUGUGAAAGCCCCCGGCUCAACUGGGGAGGGUCAUUCGAUACUGAUCGACUCGAAGGCAGGAGAGGGUAGUGGAAUUCCCGGUGUAGUGGUGAAAUGCGUAGAUAUCGGGAGGAACACCAGUGGCGAAGGCGACUACCUGGCCUGUUCUUGACGCUGAGGCGCGAAAGCUAGGGGAGCAAACGGG